UACGUAGGGUGCAAGCGUUAUCCGGAAUUAUUGGGCGUAAAGAGCUCGUAGGCGGUUUGUCGCGUCUGCUGUGAAAACUGGAGGCUCAACCUCCAGCCUGCAGUGGGUACGGGCAGACUAGAGUGCGGUAGGGGAGAUUGGAAUUCCUGGUGUAGCGGUGGAAUGCGCAGAUAUCAGGAGGAACACCGGUGGUGUAGACGGCUCGCUGGGCCAUUCCUGACGCUGAGACGCGAAAGCUAGGGGAGCGAACAGG
rnacentral:rRNA from 1 species